rnacentral:rRNA from 1 species
UACGUAGGGGGCAAGCGUUGUCCGGAAUUAUUGGGCGUAAAGCGCGCGUAGGCGGCCCAGUAAGUCCGUUGUAAAAGUCAAAGGCUCAACCUUUGAAAGCCGAUGGAUACUGCCGGACUAGAGUUCGGAAGAGGCGAGUGGAAUUCCCGGUGUAGCGGUGAAAUGCGCAGAUAUCGGGAGGAACACCUAUGGCGAAGGCAGCUCGCUGGGACGUUACUGACGCUGAGACGCGAAAGCGUGGGGAGCAAACAGG